rnacentral:misc_RNA from 1 species
UCAAACUUGGUCAUUUAGAGGAAGUAAAAGUCGUAACAAGGUUUCCGUAGGUGAACCUGCGGAAGGAUCAUUAACAAAUCUUCAACACAAACCCUGUGUAAACGUUUGCGUUCCCUUGCGUGGGAGCAUGUGAGAUGGGUGAGGCUAGGCAACUGGCCCCACUCGUCGCCACGCCACCCCAAGGGAUCGUCUUUAUUAUACUAUUGAUUGACAGCCUAGAUACAAAGUUAACUAAAACAACUUUUAACAAUGGAUCUCUUGGCUCUUGCAUCGAUGAAGAACGCAGC